GACGGGAUAGUAACACGUGGGAACCUGCCCUUAGGUUCGGAAUAACUCAGAGAAAUUUGAGCUAAUACCGGAUAAUGUCUUCGGACCAAAGAUUUAUCGCCUUUGGAUGGGCCCGCGUUGGAUUAGCUUGUUGGUGGGGUAAAGGCCUACCAAGGCGACGAUCCAUAGCUGGUCUUAGAGGAUGAUCAGCCACAUUGGGACUGAGACACGGCCCAAACUCCUACGGGAGGCAGCAGUGGGGAAUAUUGCACAAUGGGCGAAAGCCUGAUCCAGCAAUGCCGCGUGAGUGAUGAAGGCCUU
rnacentral:rRNA from 1 species